CAUCCCUGUUUUUGCUCGUGUAUACUUUUUUGUGAUCUAUAUAUCGGGUAUAUUUUAUCGAUGAUUCCACGGUCACAUUCUCUGUCUUUCUCAUUAGUAAAGCGCCCCCACCUCCCCGCUCUACCAAAACCACCAAACUUUUUUUAAUUUUGUAAAAGUUUAAUUUCGUGUUCAUAGUGUGCGAGCUAGAAGUGAAAGCUAAAUCGCUAAAUCGCGUGCGCUAUGCGUCAGAUUGGAAGGCAAGCAAAUCGUCUUCAUAUUCAUUUUAGCAUAAACUCGCAUUUUAGAUCACCCAGCCUGCGCGUGUGGUAACAAUUGUAGUAAAUCCGAGUUCCCAGUUCAAUUAGAAGUACAGAUUGCACUUCUUUAAAAUAUUCGGAUACGAUAUCUCGUUUUGGACAGUACAUAUGUACAUACCUAUAAAACUGUAAUAUCAAAUAAUGUAAUCAAAAUGUGUGUGUAACCAAAGCGCUUUGGGUUUUUUGAGAGAGCUCUUAGCUACUCCACUUCUUGGGUACAUACAUAUAUGUACAGAAGUAUGUCUGUGGUCAAACGCAUCCCCAAUAAUAAAGAAAAAAAAGAGCACCUUGCAGUCAAACCACAAUCUUGUUGAUGCUUACUCGCGUUUCUUGCACUUUUAAAGAGGUAAGUACAAUAAAAGUUUCAAUAAUACGUUCUCGAAAGCAAAAAAAUACAUAAAUGCAUACAUACGCAUUUGUGUGUAAAUUAUGUACAUAUGUACACACGCACGAUGCACCGCAGCAGAGAGACCACGUCGGUCAGCCUCUGGUAAACUUGAAAUGAAGUGAACUAAUUAAUAUUUGUAAAUUGAAAAGUACAUAAGGAGCUCUUUCUCGUAUAUGUAUGUAAAUAUGUAUGAUUUUUGUCGAGCUGUUUUUGAUAUGCUGAGAAAACAGCCGUCCACUGUUGCUGUCGCAUCUUCCUUCCUGCUCAGCAUAAUCGGGAUAAAAAAAUAUAGCAGAAUCAGAACGAAACAUUGAAAGGAUUUUUAGUUCAAGUAAAACAAAAGAAGCGCUUGAUUCGGUGACCUGCAUUUUCCAAAUUCCCAACACAUGCAAACACUGUAACACAAAAACGGUCUCAGAGAGCAAACAAAGAAAAGAGCUUGGACAGGCGCAUAAAGCAACUAUAUAAGGAGGUCUCGUCGGAAAAAAUUAUGGACUAGUGCGAGUGAAAGGGUUCUCGCUGUAAGUGAGAGGGAAACGACAAUGGAGUGUGCUGAUUAUCCAUUUUUUUUUUUUUGAGGUUUUAAGUUACCGCUCUACCCUUGGGUAGAGGGGAAUUAUUUGGCCACCCGCCUUUACAAGGGGGAAAUCGCCACGUCGAAAUAUGUAACUUGUUACAGUUUUGCUCCAAUACUUACCUGGCGUAGAGGUUAUGUUCCCCACGUGCUUGCAGUGUGCCCAGACACGUAUAUUCGCUUUGCUGAUUAAUCAUUUGAAGGCAAAGUGAAAAAAAAUAAUAAUUGUUUCAUAAUUUAAUUUUUAAUAGUUUGCUACGUAAUGGCUACUGUUAGUGGCUAUGUGUUCUGAAAAAAUAAACAUUUAAAGAAAAAUAGAAAAAACAAUUUUGUCCGCAACCAACCUUCCGCGUCGACAAGCAAACGUGCAUUGAGAAUUGGGUAACGCAGCGAGUAACUCUGACACCGACGAGGCCUCCUUAUAUAGUUGCUUUAUGCCACCGACGAGGCCUCUUUAUAUAGUUGCUUCAUGGACAGGCGCAUACAUACAUACAUGUGUACAUACAUAUGUCAUUAUGUGCCAGCGCUCUUUUUUUAUACCCCGUACUCGAAGAGUAAAGGUAAAUAGGGUAUAUUGUAUUUGUGCGACUAACGCACAGAAGGAAGAGUGUCCGUCUGUUUGUCCUGAUGAGCGCCUAGUACUCAGAGACUAUAAGAGCUAGAGCCACCAAAUUUGCAUCCAGACUUCUGUAUGCUCACACUGUUACAAGUUUAUUUAAGAAAGGAUCCACGUUCAAUUCCGUUCCGUGUCUGUCUGUCUGUCCGUCUUGUUUGUCGGCUAGUUCUCAGAGAUUAUAAGAGCUAGAGCCACCAAAUUUUGGCUCCAGACUGCUGUAUGCUCACACUGAAACCAGUGUAUUUAAAAAAUUAGCCCCGCCCUCUUCCGUCCCCUCAAAAAGGCGAAAACCUCCCAAACCUAUAGUUUUGAAGAUAAAAGAAAACUAAAAACGCCAUUCCUUAGGGAAUGACCAUAUCUAUCAGAUCAAUAAUUGGAUCCGAUUGGAUGAUUAUUAUAGCCACAAUGAAUAAAUUUAUUUGCAGUGGCUAAACCCACCCCGUCCCGCAGCUUAUAUUAGUUUUUUUUGCACAUUCUCUCAUUCACACUCUGCUUCGCGCAGUCACGUCUCUGCCUCUGCCGCGUCUCUGCCCUGACUCUGCAGUGUGUGGCUCUAGGGGAGGGUGGCGAGCUAAAGGAGCGUGUUGGCGUGAGACGUUUUGUAGAUGUAGGUGACAGAUGAAGAAAAAAUUUAAAAUUUGACAAAUAACCGCUAAGGUACAGAUGUAGUACUGAGUGCCGAGUACAAAAGUUGUGACGCGUAAGAAGCGUCUCACACGUCCCUUCUCGUUAAAUUUUAAGUUCAUUUUUCAAAAGUGGUGCUCUUAUUUUUUUUUGCCCAAUUUUAUAAUUUUCACUCAAUUUCCGUAAAUAACUUAAAGCCCGUUAAAAAAUAAGAUUUUUGUGUUAUUCCCAGAUUUGUGAGUCUUCCAUUUCAAAAAAUGUGCUUAAUGUUUCCUUAUAGUUGAAAAUGUGAGUUGGGCAACUAUUUGUGAAAUUGCUUGUGCUGUUGGUGCUAUUAUUUUUUUCACAGCUGUACAUAUGUAUGUGCAUACAAUCCAUACGCAGUGCUUUUCAUUUUAAAUUUGAAAAGCUGUAAGUUAUAUGCCCUUGAGGGUUGCGCUGUCAAAAUUAUAUCCAAAUGUCAAUAUAUUGAUAUUUUCUCUAAAUAAAACGAGAAGGGACGUGUGAGACGCUUUUUACGCGUCACAACUUUUAUACCCGGCACUCAGAACUACAUCUGCACCUUAGCGGUGUUUUGUCAAAUUUUAAAUUUUUUCUUCAUCUGUCAUCUACAUCUACAACACUUCUCACACCAACACGCUCCGUUAGCUCGCCGCCCUUCCCUAGACCCACAUACUGUAGACUCGAGGCAGAGGCAGAAGCACCGUCCGCACACAAAAAAAAAACGAGAAGGGACGUGUGAGACGUUUCUUACGCGUCACAACUUUUGUACUCGGUACUCAGGACUACAUCUGCACCUUAGCGUUGUUAUGUCAAAUUUUAAAUUUUUUCUUCAUCUGUCUUCUACAUCUACAACACUUCUCACACCAACACGCUCCGUUAGCUCGCCGCCCUUCCCUAGACCCAGGCAGCGCACGCACACAAAAAAAAAAGAAAUAUAAGCUGCGGGACGGGGUGGGUUUAGCCACUGCAAGUAAAUUUCUUCAUUGUGGCUAUAAUAAUCAUCCAAUCGUAUCCAAUUUGAUGAUCUGAUAGAUAUAAGUAUUCCCUACGGAAUGGCGCUUUUAGUUUUCUUUUAUCUUCAAAAUUGUGGGUUUGGAAGGUUUUCGCCCUUUUGCGGGGGCGGAAGGGGACGGGGCUCCUUUUUGAAAUACACUUGUAACAGUGUGUGAAGUCUGGAUGCAAAAUUUAGUGGCUCUAGCUUUUGUGGUCUCUGAGAUCCAGUCGCUCAAGAAGACGAACGGACAGACGGACGGACAGACAGACAUGGCUCAAUCGACUCGGCUAUUGAUGCUGAUCAAGAAAAUAUAUACUUUAUGGGGUCGGAAACGUUUCCUUCUGUGCGGUACACACAACCUUUAUUCGCACAAAUACAAUAUACCCUAUUUACUCUUCGAGUACCGGGUAUAAAAACAAUAGGUACCGAAAUACCAACUGAGGACCGGGUAUAACAGUUGUGACGCGUAUACAUAAUAUACCGUAAAAUAUACCUAUUAAACAUAAUAUAUUUAUAUAAAUAAAACGUAACAAACCCAUAUUAUUUCUUUAUUAGAGAUCAUUUCUUUCCUUUCGUAGUAGUCCUUUAAAUACAAACCUUUAUUGUCCUUUAUAUUAACCGUAUUCUCUAUCUUCAUCACUUUUUAAUAUCCUUUGGAUUAUAUUUCUGUCUUAAAUUUUGUCUUAUAUACAAUAAUACAUUAGAUACAUUAUUGUUUGUAAAUCUAUUUCUAAUGUUGAUUUUUAUUCAAGUCUCUUCAGAGAAUAUUUUCUCGUACGGGAAGUAUAUGUAGGCCCAUUGCACAUUACGGCAUAAAGCAACUAUAUAAGGAGGCCUCGUCGGUGGCAGAGUUACUCGCUGCGUUACCCAAUUCUCAGUGCACGUUUGCUUCUCGACGCGGAAGGUUGGUUGCGGACAACAUUUUUUUGUCUAUUUUUUUAUUAAUGUUUAUUUUUUUCGGAACAGAGGCUACUAUUAUGUAGCAAACUAUUAAAAAUUAAAUUAUGAAACAAUUAUUAUGUUUUUUCACUUUGCCUUCAAAUGAUUAAUCAGCGCACUCCAUUGUCGUUGCCCUCACACUUACAGCGAGAGCACUUUCACUCGCACUUUUCACUCGCACUAGUCCAUAAUUUUUUCCGACGAGACCUCCUUAUAUAGUUGCUU
rnacentral:lncRNA from 1 species